rnacentral:rRNA from 1 species
GGACCCGCACAAGCGGUGGAGCAUGUGGUUUAAUUCGAUGCAACGCGAAAAACCUUACCUACUCUUGACAUACUUGGAAGCUCUUGUAAUGAGAGUGUGCCUUUUGGAACCAAGAUACAGGUGCUGCAUGGCUGUCGUCAGCUCGUGUCGUGAGAUGUUCCGUUAAGUCGGAUAACGAGCGCAACCCUUACCCUUAUUUGCCAGCGAUUCGGUCGGGAACUAUAAGGGGACUGCCGGUGAUAAACCGGAGGAAGGUGAGGACGACGUCAAGUCAUCAUGGCCCUUACGAGUAGGGCUACACACGUGCUACAAUGGGGAAUACAGACGGACGCUAAGCCGCGAGGUGGUGCUAAUCCCAUAAAGCCAGUCUCAGUUCGGAUUGGAGUCUGCAACUCGACUCCAUGAAGCUGGAGUU